AUACUUUCCUGGCGUAGGGAUACCGUGUUCAUGCAGGCGGUUUCCCCAGGGCGACGCUGCUUCAUUGCACUGCGGAGCGGUUGCCCCUUGCGAUUAUUUUUAUUAUAAUCAAUUAAAAAAUCAUAAUAAAAAAUGUAUACCCGAAUAAUUAUUUUCUUUAUAC
rnacentral:snRNA from 9 species